ACGAUAGCAAGACAUCGUAUGAUUUGGUAAUGCCGUAAUCACUGAUUUAAUGAUCACUUCCUUUCCGCCUUUUGUGAAAAACUUGAAAGUCCACCCAUUGACUCUAUUAUUUAAACGAUCUUGUACAAAGCUAAAAACUUGGAUCUUUGAUCCCCCCAUAUUUUCUGGUAAACCCAGGUAGGAUCCCAUUCCUCCAAGAUUCUGAAUGCCCAAAAUAUCCCUUAAUUCCUGUCUAACGGGUUCUUCAAUCCUAUGUCCAAAUUGAAUUGAAGACUUAUCAAAAUUUAUU
rnacentral:lncRNA from 1 species